UGGGGAAUAUUGGACAAUGGGGGGAACCCUGAUCCAGCCAUGCCGCGUGUGUGAAGAAGGCCUUAUGGUUGUAAGCACUUUAAGCGAGGAGGAGGGUACUGGUAUUAAUACUACCAGGUACUGGACGUUACUCGCAGAAUAAGCACCGGCUAACUCUGUGCCAGCAGCCGCGGUAAUACAGAGGGUGCGAGCGUUAAUCGGAUUUACUGGGCGUAAAGCGUGCGUAGGCGGCUAAUUGAGUCGGAUGUGAAAUCCCCGAGCUUAACUUGGGAAUUGCAUUCGAUACUGGUUAGCUUGAGUGUGGGAGAGGAUGGUAGAAUUCCAAGUGUAGCGGUGAAAUGCGUAGAGAUCUGGAGGAAUACCGAUGGCGAAGGCAGCCAUCUGGCCUAACACUGACGCUGAGGUACGAAAGCAUGGGGAGCAAACAGG
rnacentral:rRNA from 1 species